rnacentral:tRNA from 1 species
GCGCGCAUGGCGGAAUUGGUAGACGCGCAGGAUUUAGGUUCCUGUGGCUUCGGCCGUGGGGGUUCGAUUCCCCCUGUGCGCA